UCUUCCUGUGUAAAAGGAGCUGUUCUCACAGCCCCUCUGCAGUUGCUGGGGUCCGGGGUGGGAUUCCCUGCCUAGAUGACGGUGGUGGCCCUUUACUCCAGCUCUCCCCGGUCCUCGCAGACUCAAGAUGAAAAGCGCCUAGAGAGGCCAUUCUGUCCAUCCCUGUGGCUCCAGGACGGACCACAACUGAGAAGACCUGCCAGUCCUGUGUGUUCACUCAUUCCUUCAAAAACCUUUCACUGAGCGCGAGCUCUGUGCAAAGUACCAGGAGCUUUACCUCAUGCCAGCACCUUAAAUCCCCACUAGGACCUUUGGAGAUGGACACUAUUACUCUACGGCGACUUGUCCAAAGAUCCAUUUCAAUCCAGUGCUCCUCUGUGACUCCUCCUGACUCACCCAAGUGGGACUGAUCUCAGUCAGCUUUGGGGCCACACCACACUUCCCAUAGUGUUACUAAGUUCCAACCUAGUGCCUGGUACUCAACAAAUGUUUGGCGAAUGAAAGAUCACUUGGCCAGUAAAAUCGCCAGAGGCCCCGUGUGGAAUGCAGCCUCUGAGAAAAGCACUUCUACCCAAAACCCACCGAAGCAUACCCAGCCCUGAGAGGGGCUUCAAGGAAUGCAAACAACCCGCCUGCUUCUGCAGCAAAAAGCAGAGCUAAUUACAUCAUGAACACAUAGGAGGGGAUGCAUGGGCUUUGACGAUUGUUUUUAAGGAAGAGAAAUAGGUUCUACUUCUGUGGCAGGCUGAUCAGUCGCUUACCUCCAAUCAGAGUGAAUAGCUUGAAGCAUUGUGAUGAUGCUGGUGGUGGCUAAAACUGCAAUGAGCCCAUCUGGUCAUCCAUCCCGUCAUUGCCCACCUGUCUGCACAGGAAAUUUCUUGCCCUAUGGUUACUCAGUAAAGCAAAGUCUCUUCCUGUCAGCACUGAUGAAGGUAGACGUGCUCUGCACUUUAUGGUAAUAAGAUGACAGUUCUCUUCAAAAACAUUAUGAUUCAGACUGUCCUCUUUUCACCAGCACUCCCCCUCACCCACCCAGAGGAGGCUGAAAUAAAUUAAACUGUUAUUAUUCAUUCUUUAGCCAAUUUAAUAUUUAAUAAAAACCCAUUUGUGCCAGCCACUGGAUAGAUGCUGGGAUGACAAAGGUGACUAAGAAGGUCCCUACCCUUAGGAUAUCCGAGUCAAGCUAACAAAUAAUAACAAUGCCAUGUGAUUAGGGCAAUGCCAGAGGGAAGUAGGAAGUGAGGCCCUGAGGAAGGCAGGGCUGACAGCUUCUUACCUCCCCAGACUCCUC